rnacentral:rRNA from 1 species
CCUACGGGUGGCAGCAGUGGGGAAUAUUGCACAAUGGGGGAAACCCUGAUGCAGCGACGCCGCGUGAGUGAGGAAGUAUUUCGGUAUGUAAAGCUCUAUUAGCAGGGAAGAAAAUGACGGUACCUGACUAAGAAGCCCCGGCUAACUACGUGCCAGCAGCCGCGGUAAUACGUAGGGGGCAGGCGUGAUCCGGAUUUACUGGGUGUAAAGGGAGCGUAGACGGAAUUGAAAGUCUGAGGGGAAAAUCCGGGGCCCAACCCCGGAACGGCAUUGGAAACUGUAUGUCUAGGGAGGCGGAGAGGCAAGUGGAAUGCCUGGUGUAGCGGUGAAAUGCGUAGAUAUCAGGAGGAACACCAGUGGCGAAGGCAGCUUGCUGGACGAUGACUGACGUUGAGGCUCGAAAGCGUGGGGAGCGAACAGGAUUAGAUACCCUGGUAGUC